UACGAAGGGGGCUAGCGUUGCUCGGAAUCACUGGGCGUAAAGGGUGCGUAGGCGGGUUCUUAAGUUAGAGGUGAAAGCCUGGAGCUCAACUCCAGAACUGCCUUUAAUACUGGGAAUCUUGAGUUCGGAAGAGGUAAGUGGAACUGCGAGUGUAGAGGUGAAAUUCGUAGAUAUUCGCAAGAACACCAGUGGCGAAGGCGGCUUACUGGUCCGAUACUGACGCUGAGGCACGAAAGCGUGGGGAGCAAACAGG
rnacentral:rRNA from 1 species